AUGAACGCUGGCGGCGUGCCUAAUACAUGCAAGUCGAGCGAACGGACGAGAAGCUUGCUUCUCUGAUGUUAGCGGCGGACGGGUGAGUAACACGUGGAUAACCUACCUAUAAGACUGGGAUAACUUCGGGAAACCGGAGCUAAUACCGGAUAAUAUUUUGAACCGCAUGGUUCAAAAGUGAAAGACGGUCUUGCUGUCACUUAUAGAUGGAUCCGCGCUGCAUUAGCUAGUUGGUAAGGUAACGGCUUACCAAGGCAACGAUGCAUAGACGACCUGAGAGGGUGAUCGGCCACACGGGAACUGAGACGCGGUCCAGACUCCUACGGGAGGCAGCAGUAGGGAAUCUUACGCAAUGGGCGAAAGCCUGACGGAGCAACGCCGCGUGAGUGAUGAAGGUGUUCGGAGCGUAAAAACCUGUUAUGAGGGGAGAACAUAUGUGUAAGUAACUGUGCACAUCUUGACGGUACCUAAUCAGAAAGCCACGGCUAACUACGUG
rnacentral:rRNA from 1 species